rnacentral:rRNA from 1 species
UACAGAGGUGCCGAGCGUUAGGCGGAAUCACUGGGCUUAAAGCGUGUGUAGGCGGAUGCCUAAGUACCUUGUGAAAUCCCCCGGCUUAACCGGGGAACUGCUUGGUAUACUGGGUGUCUUGAGCCACUUAGGGGCGACCGGAACAAACGGUGGAGCGGUGAAAUGCGUAGAUAUCGUGUGGAACGCCAAUGGUGAAAACAGGUCGCUGGGAGUGUGCUGACGCUGAGACACGAAAGCCAGGGGAGCGAACGGG